rnacentral:rRNA from 1 species
CAGCAGCCGCGGGAAUACGUAGGGUGCAAGCGUUGUCCGGAGUUAUUGGGCGUAAAGAGCUCGUAGGCGGUUUGUCGCGUCUGCUGUGAAAUCCCGAGGCUCAACCUCGGGCUUGCAGUGGGUACGGGCAGACUAGAGUGCGGUAGGGGAGAUUGGAAUUCCUGGUGUAGCGGUGGAAUGCGCAGAUAUCAGGAGGAACACCGAUGGCGAAGGCAGAUCCCUGGGCCGUAACUGACGCUGAGGAGCGAGAGCGUGGGGAGCGAACAGGAUUAGAUACCCCAGUAGUCCCUGUCUCUUAUAC